GGGUUAUUGAAUGCAAUUCAACACUUUCCUUUAACGUUAGUGUAACCCAAUGAAUUGCCACUUCCCAUUAUGAUGCGCAAUAAUUCCCUGGUAGCCCCUAGAUGCGUGCACGAGACAAAUGUUAAAAAACAACAACACGAGACAAAUGUUAAAAAACAACAGAAAACCGUCAAUCGGUAAAUGAAGAAGAAGUAGCACUACGUCUGAUGAGAGACGGAGAGAAAGAUUGAGAAGAUUUAAAAUACGGACGACUUCGAAAUCAUAGAUACUCGGAACUACGGACACUUGGACACUUAAAAACGAAAAUUGGAAAACAAUAUAAAGAUCCUCUUUCCCCCGCACAAAGCUUUGGUGAGUCGCAAGUCACAGCUGAACGCAACAGAUUUGCAUGUUCUAUGUAAUCAGAGCCAAUUAUUUAGUACAUCUUAUUUACCCGAAAACAGAUGAUCACCCUUUGAAAAGAAAAGAAGAAAGAAGACUUUUCCCUUGUAUUUUGUAUGGUACUGGAAUCCUGGUGAGCAAGGCCUUGAGUGAGCAAGCUUUGAUGAUCACCCUUUGAAAAGAAAAGAAGAAAGAAGACUUUUCCCUUGUAUUUUGUAUGGUACUGGAAUCCUGACUGGUUUUUGUUGUACCCCGAACAAACCCCGUUGCCUUGCCCUGGAACUCUUGGAUACCUUCUGGAUUUCCCUCAUCGUCCUGGAUUUGGAUUCACCAUCUACAUCAACUUGCCCCUUCCUUUUGGACUGCCCGUUAGGCUACACAUCCCCUUACCCUUGUGAUUGUGGUAGGAUCUGGACAUUGCACUUUGCACAAGUUGGACUGAACCAUUUCCCCUUUUCAUUUGUUUUCUUUUCUUUAUUAUUUUCUUGAGUGCACUCACAUUUUGUUUUGGGUUGGGUUUUAUUUUGGUUUAAUUUAUAGUAUAUAAUAAUAUUGGAUAAUAAAUAUAAGACAAGAUAUUAGGCAAUAGAGUAUAAGGUUAGGUUAAUAUAUUAAUAGUAUUUUAAAAAGGAAAAUACAAUUAGACUUGGAUAUUAAAUAGAACAAAAAAUAUAAAGUAGUACAUGGAUAUAUAAAUACAAUAAAUAGAAUAUUAGAAUAGAACAUAUAAAAUAGCAUAAUAGAAUAGUAAACAGAUAUAACAUAAUACAUCUCUUUUAAUAUUGAUAUUGAAAUAAUUUAAACUGAAUUGAAUGACU